UUUUCGUCCGUUUAGAUUUCGAUUCUAAAGAGGAAAUAUCGAGUUAUUUAAACUUUUGAAUGCGGCAACUCUUUAGAUGAAUACCUUAUUUCGCGAGUGAUGCUUGUGACCGUCCUGACAGUACGAUGUGCUCUUACGCGUAGAUAACACAAGUUAGGUAUUCUUUCCGAGAUAAUAUGCUAUAUCUAAGAGGUACGAGCGAUACGACACCGUCGUCGUCGUCGUCGUCAUCGGAAGGAUGAAAGAUGAGUUAGACGCGGUGACCCAGAAAUAGAUCUCUAUCAAAUCGGAGAUUCCAAUUCCGACGUGAUCCAUCCGCGUUGCCGCGCCGUCGAACGGUCUCGAAAAAUUCUUUGUGAAAACGAGAGAACAUUCCGGAAAUCGAUUACGCAGCUCUGUAUGUAUGUGUGUGUGUGUGUGUGUGUGAGAAAGAAAGAGAAAAAGAAAGAGAGAUUGAGAACAGGUCACCGUAAAAGGAUUUCGAGACGAGCAGCAAGCAGAAUGUUAUCGAAGAACUUUUUCGACAAGAAACUAGAUGUCGAAGAUUGUAAAAUGAAAGAUUGUAAAAUACGCGCGGAAAAUGUACAUGACUGUUGUAAUUUUAACCCUCCACCAUCCUUAUUCUAUAUUGAUAGCAAAGUGACUUGUCGCAUACGUAACAAAUUUCCUGUCUCGACGAUGCACUGAUAAUGAUCGUCCGCACAUUACGUUUUUUUCUCUAUUGUGGAGGGUUAGAAGAACGAAUUGGAGAAGCCAUUUGUCGUCGAUCGGCACCCUCGGGACGGCGUACACCUCGUUAACUACGCGGAUCACCGACAUUCGCGAGAAAUGCACCGUGCAAUCAUGCGAUUGUUGCACGCGAGCAUUAUAAAGCUCCCGAACGACUCGAGAGGCUCGACAAAUCGUCACGAAUUAUAUUAUCGAGAAACAGGUCAUUACGUUCGAUCUCUUUAGCGAGAUACACACCCGGGUAAUUAUUUAUAUUGUCGGACGAAUGCGUGCGAUCGACAUCGUAAAUCAAGGAGGUUCGAUAAGUCCAUCGCGACCGACUGAGUUCGACAACGUCCUAUUAAUAUUGAAAGCGAGAUCCUACGUUACGGGCGUUUCGUUGACGACACGCGACAGAUCACACUAUAUAGUAAGGGGUCUAAUUAAUCACUAACGCAACACGUCUGCCGAUUCGAACGUUCGACGAAGGUGAUUUACGGCUGCCCCCGCCGUAAAGGGUGGACUAUAAAGGAAAUCUCUUGAAGCCGCAGGGAGGAGAAAGGAAAGGUAAAAUUUGUCGAGCGCGCGGAUAAGCGGACGAUCGAUUUAAAAAGAUAAGCGUAAGUUAAAAGAAAAAUAAAACAGCAAGACACUCUGGAAAUAUUCCUCGAGGCAAGCCUCGUCUCAUGGAUUCGCAUCUGUAUACACCUAAAGCGCUUUAGGGUUAACGAGAGGAAAAUAGAAUUAACGAAUCUACGAGAUGAUGCCGAGGAAAGCGAAAGAUAUUAGUGCGAAUGUGGGAAGAUGUGCGGUGCAAAAGUUUAAAAUAUGCGCGUGAGAGGGUGAGAGAAUGUGAAAAAGAGGGAGUGAAAGAGUGAUAAUAAAUCAAUGUUAAAUCCCAUCAUUACCGGACUCGCAAUUUCGGAAGACAGAUCUUCGUUGACCGCCGUUUCUACGUAUAAGUUUAGUCUCGUUUUUCGAAAGCUGGACGCGACCACGCCCAUUCGGCGCCCGAUCGCGGCUGCAUGAUACUAUUUAUUGGAUUUUAGACGGACACACACGUGGGAAGAAAUUUAUUCGUUAUUCGCAUUCGAGCGCGAGCUCAAUUCUUUUACCAGCGACAGACAGAUGGGCGGACGCGAUCGACGUCGAACGGAGCCCCGUCCACGAGAGUACUCUUUACAUACCAGUUUCAGCGUUUCCGUUUUUAACCUAUUGUGGCGAGAAACGGGACGAAGAGCAGUCCCGUUCUAUGUGUGUAAGAACCAUAAAAGCUUAAUAAAAGAAAAAAAAAACAUUA